UACGGAGGGGGCGAGCGUUAUUCGGAAUUAUUGGGCGUAAAGGGCGCGUAGGCGGCUGUACAAGUCAAAGGUGAAAUCCCUCGGCUCAACUGAGGAACUGCCUUUGAAACUGUACGGCUUGAGGCCGGGAGGGGGUAGCGGAAUUCCCAGUGUAGCGGUGAAAUGCGUAGAUACUGGGAGGAACACCAGUGGCGAAGGCAGCUGGCUACGCAUAUAUUGACACUGAUGCACGAAAGCGUGGGGAUCAAACAGG
rnacentral:rRNA from 1 species